AAGAUAUUGAUGAUGCUCAAAAGUAUUCUAAUCGAUCAACAAGGGCACUUUAUAAACAAAGGGAUUAUAUUAUCAACUGCACUAUAUCAAUGUUGCUGUGUGUAUUCAAGACAUUGAAGUGAUUCAUUGAAUUGGAAUUUCAAAUACUGGUAUUUGUCAAGGAAGUAAUAGAGGCAUUCAGUAAGCGAUCCAGUGGAUUUGCCUUGUGCUCAGCUGAGACCAGAGGCCGCGGAAGCGGGGGGGGCAUUGGGGGCAAGUGCCCCCCACUUUUUACAACAGGGAAAAAUUUGCCCUUUUUCUGGAAUGAAAGUGCCCUUUUUCAUGGUGUAGAAAUGCCCUUGUUUUAGGUAAAAUUGGACUGAAGAAGUUUUUCUUAGAUAAAAGUAGCCCCGAGAGUAGAACAAAGUCUGUCGGCAUCAUGCGAAAUCAGCUAUAGCUUAGUUUUUUAUCUUGAUUACCCAGAUGGAUCAAAAAUCGCGUUUGUUGAUUGGGGUUGUCUUCGUAGACGUCCGCCCAGUAACUUAAUUAACCAAUGAGAAGUCGCAAUUUAUGAUCCACAUGAGACUAUAAAUUCUACGGCAACGCAUUGCUCCCGUCGUAUUGUCUUUCAGGCCAUUGGUCCUACAAAACUGUUGACAAUUCAUGAUCAUAAUAAUUGAAAAUUUUGCGGUUUAAAUCACUUUUAAUCAAAAUCAUCAUGCCUAGAGCUGCUAGGUGAAA